rnacentral:lncRNA from 1 species
CAAAGGUCCGGUACAGGUGAGAGUGAGACCAUGAAAUCAAAUCGACGAAAAUAACACCCACGUCACCUAGAACUUGCUUCAAAGUCCAACACACGCUGCCUUGAUUGGUUGAACAAUCAGUUGGUACCUAGGUUGGCUGAAAAGGAAAAGGAAAAGGAAAAAAUUACACGUACGGACAGAAAAUCUUAAAAGUUUAGGUAAAACAUAAAAGCUAGGCUGGCCACAGCAGCAUGGAUAAAAUAUUUCACCAACCAUAUUGGUACAUCCAGGUCCAGACAGAUCAGUGCGGCGCUUUCCAGAAAUUUCAAGGGGCGAUUUCAGGUGGUAUUGGGGAAGACUCACUGCACCUUCAU